rnacentral:rRNA from 1 species
UUAGGGCGGCGUAAGCUGUCGCUAUGGGAUGGCCCCGCGGUGCAUUAGCUAGUUGGUAAGGUAAAGGCUUACCAAGGCGAUGAUGCAUAGCCCGAGUUGAGAGACUGAUCGGGCCACAUUGGGGACUGAGACACGGGGCCCAAACUCCUACGGGGGGAGGGGCAGCAGUAGGGGGAAUCUUCCACAAUGGACGCAAGUCUGAUGGAGCAACGCCGCGUGAGUGAAGAAGGUUUUCGGAUCGUAAAGCUCUGUUGUUGGUGAAGAAGGAUAGAGGUAGUAACUGGCCUUUAUUUGACGGUAAUCAACCAGAAAGUCACGGCUAACUACGUGCCAGCAGCCGCGGUAAU